UUUAUAGCUUUAAUUUGCAUUUUGUCACUGAACCAGGAAGUGCCUAGAGAGGGCCCGGCACCUGCAGGACUGGCUCAGCACCUCUGCCUGAUGAAAGGUGACUUGGAUUUUACACAUCCGUCCGUCCGUGCUAACCUAGACCAUCCCUGUCUGUCCUAUUCAACAGGACCAGACAAUAAUCAGGAAAGCAAGUGCAUAAAAACCCAGCAGUGUACUUGUGAACCUCAGUGAACCAGCCUCAGAACGUUGGCUUGUGAAGGCGGCCCUACUUCCUUGCUUCAGCGUCCGCAGCAUUCCCGCUCGUCGCCUCCUACUCUAACCCUGUCAGAAACACCGCCUGCUUAGGAAAGACCAGGACUAGAAAAGGCCGAUGUGAAGCGAUCCGAGGUGGAGCUGUGCAUCCAGGCUGAGUCUGAGGAAGAAAACAUGGAACCCGGAGCCGAGACUCUGGCUGUCCUUGGCAAAUGCAUCUCUAUAAAGGCAGAAGCUCCCACCGUCCUGUGUCCACCUUUCCUGCCUUCCUCUUCCUCCAAGUGCCUCAGCCACUCUCACACUCCUCCCCUCCCCAAGUCUGUCUGGGUCUUAAUGCCCUUCACGAUUAAACAUCACCAGCCUCCUGCUGUUCACCACC
rnacentral:lncRNA from 1 species